GUACACACCGCCCGUCACACCAUGGGAGUUGGAAGCACCCGAAGUCGGUGACCUGACCGAAAGGGAGGAGCCGCCGAAGGUGAAGCCAGCGACUGGGGUGAAGUCGUAACAAGGUACC
rnacentral:rRNA from 1 species